GUGGAAGGAGAUUUGCAUCAAACGCUCCCCCGUCGUGAAGCGCGCGCGAUGGGUCCUCGUCAAUUCCUUCUACGACCUCGAGGCGCCCACCUUCGAUUUCAUGGCCAGCGAGCUCGGACCUAGAUUUAUCCCCGCGGGGCCACAGUUUUUGCUCGACGAUUCCAGGAAGAAUGUGGUGCUUCGCCCCGAGAACGAGGAUUGCCUUGGCUGGAUGGAUGAGCAGGAGCCUGGAUCGGUGCUCUACAUCUCGUUUGGCAGCGUCGCGGUGCUGAGCGUGGAGCAAUUCGAGGAGCUCGCGGGAGCUCUCGAGGCAUCGAAGAAGCCAUUCUUGUGGGUGAUUCGACCUGAGCUGGUGGUGGGUGGUCACUCGAACGAAUCUUACAAUGGGUUUUGCGAGAGGACCAAGAACCAGGGAUUCAUCGUUUCCUGGGCGCCACAGCUGAGAGUUCUCGCCCAUCCCUCCAUGGGAGCGUUUCUCACGCACUGCGGAUGGAAUUCCGUCCAGGAGAGCAUCGCUAAUGGCAUUCCAAUGCUGGGGUGGCCUUACGGGGGCGAGCAAAGCACCAACUGUAAGUUCAUAGUGGAGGACUGGAAGAUCGGGGUUAGAUUCUCCAAGACUGGUGCAGGGAUUGAUCGAGCGAGGAGAGAUUGAGGCCGGCAUAAAAAAGGUGAUGGAUAGCGAGGAGGGGAAGAAGAUGAAGAAGAGAGUGGAGAACUUGAAGAUCCUUGCGAGGAAAGCUAUGGACAAAGAGAAUAGGAAGUCGUUUCGUGGCCUCCAGGGAUGGCUGGAAGAUCUCAAAGCUAUGACUGGAACAAUGAAAAGUCACACUUGCCCGAAUAAACACAACUUCUGCAAAAGCUGGUCGAUGUGUACGAUCAAAUGGAAAACAACCAACUGGCUGGACAAGAUUCUCGUGGAUAAAGUGAUGGUUCUAUGGUUAUAAGAUCCGCAUGGAUCAAUUCUCAGAGUGGGAAGAGACCUAAGAAAUCAUGAGAUCCUUGCGAAGUUCUAGCGAUUCUUCCUCCCCCAGUAGCAAGAUCCAUGUCGUGGUCGUUCCCCUGCCCGAGCAAGGCCAUAUGUCCCCAAUGAUCCAUCUCUGCAAGCUCAUCGCUCGAGAUCCAAGCUUCACGAUCUCCUUGGUCAAUGUGGACAGCCUCCACGACGAGUUCGUCAAGCACUGGGUGGCGCCGGCGGGGCUGGAAGAUCUGCGCCUCCAUUCCAUCCCAUACUCGUGGCAGCUCCCGCUAGGAGCCGAUGCCCACGCGCAGAGAAAUCUGGCGGAAUGGUUCACGGCAUCCGCGCGAGAGCUCCCAGGCGGCCUCGAGGAUUUGAUCCGCAAGCUCGGGGAGGAGGGUGAUCCGGUCAACUGCAUCAUCUCGGAUUACUUCUGCGAUUGGAGCCAGGAUGUGGCGGAUGUGUUUGGCAUCCCCAGGAUCAUUCUUUGGUCAGGAACCGCGGCAUGGACGAGCUUGGAGUACCACAUUCCAGAGCUUCUGGAGAAGGAUCACAUAUUUCCUAGCAGAGGUACGAAUCUUUGAAUUUACCAUGAACAUUAGUUCUUUUCCUCCUUCCCUUAUUCAAAUUUUGCCUGUUCUUCCCCGAUUCGUGCGCAGGGAGAGCUUCCCCGGAGGAGGUCAAUUCCGUGAUCAUCGACUACGUCCGAGGAGUCAAGCCGCUCCGCCUGGCCGAUGUGCCCGAUUACAUGCAGGGCAACGAGGUGUGGAAGGAGAUUUGCAUCAAGCGCUCCCCCGUCGUGAAGCGCGCGCGAUGGGUCCUCGUCAAUUCCUUCUACGACCUCGAGGCGCCCACCUUCGAUUUCAUGGCCAGGGAGCUCGGGCCUCGAUUCAUCCCCGCGGGGCCACUGUUCUUGCUCGACGAUUCCAGGAAGAAUGUGGUGCUUCGCCCGGAGAACGAGGAUUGCCUUGGCUGGAUGGAUGAGCAGGAGCCUGGAUCGGUGCUCUACAUCUCGNNNNNNNNNNNNNNNNNNNNNNNNNNNNNNNNNNNNNNNNNNNNNNNNNNNNNNNNNNNNNNNNNNNNNNNNNNNNNNNNNNNNNNNNNNNNNNNNNNNNCAUUCUUGUGGGUGAUUCGAUCCGAGCUCGUGGUGGGUGGACACUCAAAUGAAUCCUACGAUGGGUUUUGCGAGAGGACCAAGAACCAAGGAUUCAUCGUUUCCUGGGCGCCACAGCUGAAAGUUCUCGCCCAUCCCUCCAUGGGAGCGUUUCUCACGCACUGCGGAUGGAAUUCCAUCCAGGAGAGCAUCACACACGGGAUUCCAAUGCUGGGGUGGCCUUACGGGGCCGAGCAAAACACCAACUGUAAGUUCAUAGUGGAGGACUGGAAGAUCGGGGUUAGAUUCUCCAAGACCGCGAUGCAGGGAUUGAUCGAGCGAGGAGAGAUCGAGGACGGCAUAAGAAAGGUGAUGGAUAGCGAGGAGGGGAAGGAAAUGAAGGAGAGAGUGGAGAGCUUGAAGAUCCUUGCCAGGAAAGCCAUGGACAAAGAGCAUGGGAAAUCGUUUCGUGGCGUCCAAGCAUUCUUGGAAGAUCUCAAAGGUUUGAAGAUCCAUCGCGAGUGAGUGAAAGAUCCAUUCUUUGAAGAGAACUUUAAGAACUUUGUACCAGUUCUCAAGAUAAUUAAUGUUCCAACUUCUUUGAUCCAUACCGGUUUCUUCCUCACUGAGAUUGCGCAUAAGCAUUGGAAAGCCAGACGCAGAGCGCAGGAGGUGCCAACAUCCCUGCGGCGAUCCUGGCUGCUCGAUCCGACUCCGAGUUGAGAAAUCCGCAGGGAUUACCGCGAGGAGAUGGAAUUCCUCGCGAAUGGCCGCUACCAACUGGGGAUAUCUUUAGCGGAACCCCCUGGGAUCACCACAAUGCCCUCUGAUAGACUCUGAGCAGCGUUUUACUUGACUAGAUGCGAAAGAGCUUCGUUAGAACCUACAUGAAAACGUUUGGAACCAAUAUUAAAGUCGAUGCUUACAAACUUCAGCGCAACAUUGUUGCUCGGAAUCUUUGCGAAGUUGCAUUUGCCCAGACGAGGCAUCAUUUGCGGCCGAAGGGAAGACACCAUUAGCGCGCUGUAGUCAUGCAUUUCUUUAAGAAUCCGGGAUUAGAGAGAUGUCUUAGAGCACUUACUUAAUGUUACAUGCUCUUACCAUGUUUUUCUUCUCUCUUUUGCUCGUCCCAGCCGCCAUGCACGGAAAUAUCUAGAUUUUUCCCAACUUAAAAGAGAUCAAGAUUCAUGUGGCAGUUGUCCAGGCAUGCAAGGGAUCAUUGCCCCAAAUAUCGAUCCAAACUUUACAGUCCCUUAGCUUUUGGAAUUGUGAAACUUAAUCCCAGCGAGGGGAUAAUAAUCCUUGGAACCAUCAUCAGGAUCUUAAUCUCCAGAAAUUGGACAAAACACUAAACUACCAAGGAAUCUUCUCCAGAGACGCCUAGUAGUCUAAACAGUUUACGCACAAAUCUUUCCUUGCCAAAAAAAAAUCAUGGCUUCUACCAAGGUCCAUGUCUUGGCGGUUCCAGUGGCCGCCCAAGGCCAUAUCUCCCCAAUGAUCCAUCUCUGCAAGUUCAUCGCUCAAGAUCCAAGCUUCACAAUCUCCGUGGUCAAUAUCGACAGCCUCCACGACGAAUUCAUCAAGCACUGGGCGGCGCUGGAAGAGAUACGCCUCCAUUCCAUCCCAUUCUCGUGGAAGGUCCCGCGAGGAGUCGACGCCCACGUCGUGCGAAAUCUGGGGGACUGGUUCGCGGCAGCUGCGCGAGAGCUCCCCGGCGGCCUCGAGGAUUUGAUCCGCAAGCUCGGCGAGGAGGGCGAUCCGGUCAGCUGUAUCGUCUCGGAUUACUUCUGCGAUUGGACCCAGGAUGUGGCGGAUGUGUUUGGCAUCCCCAGGGUCAUUCUUUGGCCGGGCACCGCGGCAUGGACGAGCUUGGAGUACCACAUUCCAGAGCUUCUGGAGAAGGAUCACAUAUUUCCUAGCAGAGGUACGAAUCCCCUAUUUUGGCCAUGAACUUUCCCUGUUCUUCCCUUGGAAUUAAACGUUUCCCCUGUUCUUCCCUUGUUUUCCCUGGAAUUACCCUGUUCUUCCCUUGGAAUACCAUCGUUCUUCCCUUUAGCCCUCUUCCCUUUGGAAUUAACAUCCCCUGUUCUUCCCUUGGGCUGAUCGAUGCAUGCGCAGGGAGGGCUUCCGCGGACGAGGCCAAUUCUGUGAUCAUCGAUUACGUCCGAGGAGUCAAGCCGCUCCGCCUGGCCGAUGUGCCCACGUACCUUCAGGGCGACGAGGUGUGGAAGGAGAUUUGCAUCAAGCGCUCCCCCGUCGUGAAGCGCGCGCGCUGGGUCCUCGUCAAUUCCUUCUACGACCUAGAGGCGCCCAGUUUUGAUUUCAUGGCCAGCGAGCUCGGGCCUCGAUUCAUCCCCGCGGGACCACUGUUCUUGCUCGACAAUUCCAGGAAGAAUGUGGUGCUUCGACCCGAGAACGAGGAUUGCCUUCACUGGAUGGAUGCGCAGGAGCGUGGAUCUGUUCUCUACAUCUCAUUUGGCAGCAUCGCGGUGCUGAGCGUGGAGCAGUUCGAGGAGCUCGCGGGAGCUCUCGAGGCAUCGAAGAAGCCAUUCUUGUGGGUGAUUCGACCUGAGCUGGUGGUGGGUGGUCACUCGAACGAAUCUUACAAUGGGUUUUGCGAGAGGACCAAGAACCAGGGAUUCAUCGUUUCCUGGGCGCCACAGCUGCGAGUUCUCGCCCAUCCCUCCAUGGGAGCGUUUCUCACUCACUGCGGAUGGAAUUCCGUCCAGGAGAGCAUCGCGAAUGGCAUUCCAAUGCUGGGGUGGCCUUACGGGGGCGAGCAAAACACCAACUGUAAGUUUAUAGUGGAGGACUGGAAGAUCGGGGUUAGAUUCUCCAAGACAGUGGUGCAGGGAUUGAUCGAGCGGGGAGAGAUCGAGGCUGGCAUAAGAAAGGUGAUGGAUAGCGAGGAGGGGAAGAAGAUGAAGGAGAGAGUGGAGAACUUGAAGAUCCUUGCGAGGAAAGCUAUGGACAAAGAGAAUGGGAAGUCGUUUCGUGGCCUCCAGGGAUGGCUGGAAGAUCUCAAAGUUAUGAAGCUGGUUCGCGAGUGAGUGAACGAUGCAUUCUUUGAUAAGAAUUUUCUAUCUAUCAGUUCUAAAGAUAAACACAUGCUAGUCAAGUAAAACGCUUGUGCCUGGGAUUUGGAUAAUGUUGGAAAUGGCUGAGUAAACAAACAAAAAUUACUUAACAAAAUUGUUCAGGAAUGUUCUAUUGCUAGUGGCCGACCAUAAGUUACAAUCAAAGCGAAUGGACGUUAAUUAUAUGCUCUAUGUAACAUUUCUUGGUGAGGAAAAAAGCAGAUGCAAAAUAACUGUAAGACUUAGUUAAUUAAAACUAACAUGAAAACGUUUGGAUUUUCGAUGUUUACAACAAAAAACUCUACAAAUGCUUGAGUACAGUAUUGUUGCUCGGAAUCUUUGCUAACUUGCAUUUGCCCAGACCAGGCAUCAUUUCCAGCCAAAGAGAAGACAACGAGCGUUCUCUUGAUCGAUAAUCAUGCACUUAUUUUAGGCUGGACUUAGCCACGGCCAUUUUGUGGACAAGAGCACCACUCAUGAAUUUGAUUGCUCCAAUGUUAAAUGCUCUUACCAUAUUCUCAAAGGCUGGAAGCUUCCCAGCCGCCAGGUGUAGGGACAGAUUUUUGCCACCUUCUCAAGAUUCAUGCGGCAAGUGUCCAUAGGAUCAUUGCUUGUUCAAAUUCAGGAGCUGUAAUGGAUCCGAAGCGAGCUUGCAAUUUGGGUCAAUGUGAGUCUCGUUCUAGAGCAGAAUUGCCUCUCACAACGCUUAUGCUAAUCUUCCUUUUGUAUAAGUUUUGCAGGCCUAGGGUUCGCUCUAUCAACUUGUGUAAACAUCCGUUGCCUUCCCCGCCAAGAAAACCAUUCUAGUAAAUACCAAUGAACCCUGCCAAGGAAACCAUGGCUUCUCGCAAGGUCCAUGUCUUGGCGUUUCCAGCGCCCGCGCAAGGCCAUAUCUCCCCAAUGAUCCAUCUCUGUAAGUUCAUCGCCCAAGAUCCAAGCUUCACAAUCUCCUGGGUCAAUAUCGACAGCCUCCACGACGAGUUCGUCAAGCACUGGGUGGCGCCGGCGGGGCUGGAAGAUCUGCGCCUCCAUUCCAUCCCAUUCUCGUGGAAGCUCCCGCGAGGAGUCGAUGCCAACGUCGCAGGAAAUGUGGGAGACUGGUUCACGGCAGCCGCGCGAGAGCUCCCCGGCGGUCUCGAGGAUUUGAUCCGCAAGCUCGGCGAGGAGGGGGAUCCGGUCAGCUGUAUCGUCUCGGAUUACAUCUGCGAUUGGACCCAGGAUGUGGCGGAUGUGUUUGGGAUCCCCAGGAUCAUUCUUUGGUCGGGCAAUGCGGCAUGGACGAGCUUUGAGUACCACAUUCCAGAGCUUCUGGAGAAAGAUCACAUCUUUCCAAGCAAAGGUACGAAUCUCUGUUCUUCCCUUGUUCUUCCCUUGGAAUUAAGCGUUUCCCCUAUGCUUCCCUUGUAUUUACCCUCUUCUUCCCUUGGAAUACCAUCAAAUUUCCCCUGCUCUUCCUUUGGAAUUAAACCUCCUCUUGUUGACGCAGGGAAAGCUUCCCCGGACGAGGCCAAUUCCGUGAUCAGGGCCAGGAGGUGUUGAAGGAGAUUUGCAUCAAGCGCUCCCCCGUCGUCAAGCGCGCGCGCUGGGUCCUCGUCAAUUCCUUCUACGACCUCGAGGCGCCCACCUUCGAUUUCAUGGCCAGCGAGCUCGGGCCUCGAUUCAUCCCCGUGGGGCCACUGUUCCUGCUCGACGAUUCCAGGAAGAAUGUGGUGCUUCGACCCGAGAACGAGGAUUGCCUUCACUGGAUGGAUGCGCAGGAGCCUGGAUCGGUGCUCUACAUCUCGUUUGGCAGCGUCGCGGUGCUGAGCGUGGAGCAGUUUGAGGAGCUCGCGGGAGCUCUCGAGGCAUCGAAGAAGCCAUUCUUGUGGGUGAUUCGAC
rnacentral:lncRNA from 1 species